AUUAAAUCAGGCAGCAGGACAGCAGCUGUGGGCUCAAUGUGUUCUGCUGACAGCCGGGGACUCGCUUUAUGAUGCUCAGGCAAAAUUGGUUGUAUUGCUGAUGGAUGAUUCCCCUGGUGAAAGGUGGUCACCCAGAGGAUAUCCGUGGUUCCAGUCAUUUCCAAAGGACCAAAUUAAACAAGGAAAACACUGAACUACAUAAAAUAAGCAUGUUACAAACCCCAAGAUCCCAAAACUUUGGAUUAGCUGGAGACAUGACAGAGUCCACAGCCAACUUGUUUGAGAAGAAUUACUUUAAAUUUCUUGGUCUUUUGGUGUCAGAAAUGUCCAAUUUACGCUGUAGGGGAAACCUGUCAUCAGAUAAAGGGCAUCCAGGUUUUUGCUUUUCCCUGAUGGAUCCUUACAAAACUGACUCUGCCACCUCACUGUGGGAAGGAUUAGAGAUGAUGAUAAGGAUAAAACUAAUGAGGAUCUAGAGAAAACAGACAAAACAAAUAUACUCAAUAUUUUCUACGGGAUGUUUUCAUCAGUUCACAAAACCCUGCGCUGCAAGGCACGAAAGUUUGGCUGCCUGUACUUCACUCGCUGUGCUGUCCCUUCCCUUGGAACCAAUCCCUUGUUCAUCACCAAGCCCUGCUAUUCCAGCUUCUCCUUUCCGUGUGAUCUGGGGAGGCUCAGACAAAGUCCAAGAGCUGGGAAUCCCAGAGGAACAUUGCAUCUUAAACCACAGAAAACCCAUGGAAAGUAUUAAAUGACCAAUAAGUGUUGCUGUAUUUACACAGCAGCAGUAGUGGAUUUGCCAGAGAGCAUGAAGGCAAAGUUCUUGUAAA